rnacentral:rRNA from 1 species
UGCAGUCGAGCGGAUGAGGGUAGCUUGCUAUCUGAUUCAGCGGCGGACGGGUGAGUAAUGCCUAGGAAUCUGCCUGGUAGUGGGGGACAACGUUUCGAAAGGAACGCUAAUACCGCAUACGUCCUACGGGAGAAAGUGGGGGAUCUUCGGACCUCACGCUAUCAGAUGAGCCUAGGUCGGAUUAGCUAGUAGGUGGGGUAAUGGCUCACCUAGGCGACGAUCCGUAACUGGUCUGAGAGGAUGAUCAGUCACACUGGAACUGAGACACGGUCCAGACUCCUACGGGAGGCAGCAGUGGGGAAUAUUGGACAAUGGGCGAAAGCCUGAUCCAGCCAUGCCGCGUGUGUGAAGAAGGUCUUCGGAUUGUAAAGCACUUUAAGUUGGGAGGAAGGGUUGUAGCCUAAUACGUUGCAAUUUUGACGUUACCGACAGAAUAAGCACCGGCUAACUUCGUGCCAGCAGCCGCGGUAAUACGAAGGGUGCAAGCGUUAAUCGGAAUUACUGGGCGUAAAGCGCGCGUAGGUGGUUCAUUAAGUUGGAUGUGAAAGCCCUGGGCUCAACCUGGGAACUGCAUCCAAAACUGGUGAGCUAGAGUACGGUAGAGGGUAGUGGAAU